rnacentral:rRNA from 1 species
UACGGGGGGGGGCAAGCGUUGUUCGGAAUUACUGGGCGUAAAGAGCUUGUAGGCGGUUUGUCGCGUCUGCUGUGAAAACUGGAGGCUCAACCUCCAGCCUGACAGUGGGUACGGGCAGACUAGAGUGCGGUAGGGGAGAUUGGAAUUCCUGGUGUAGCGGUGGAAUGCGCAGAUAUCAGGAGGAACACCGAUGGCGAAGGCAGAUCUCUGGGCCGUAACUGACGCUGAGGAGCGAAAGCAUGGGGAGCGAACAGG